UACGAAGGGGGCUAGCGUUGUUCGGAAUUACUGGGCGUAAAGCGCGCGCAGGCGGUUUUUCAAGUCAGUGGUGAAAGCCCGGAGCUCAACUCCGGAACUGCCAUUGAAAACUGUGAAACUUGAGGAUGAGAGGAGGUGAGUGGAAUUCCCAGUGUAGAGGUGAAAUUCGUAGAUAUUGGGAAGAACACCGGUGGCGAAGGCG
rnacentral:rRNA from 1 species